CGAGCAAGCGAGGUUAAUAAAAAGUUUACUAUGUGGCAUUUAUACUUGAAACAAACAAGAAAUGCAUGAUUUGAAAUGCAUAUUAGUAGCGUGGUUACACAUUUGGUCGAAGAAAACAAAAAAUACCAAUGUAUUCCUUAAUUCUUUUCCAAUAAAAAUCAUUUGCAGAUAUCUUAUUAAUAACUAGAUGUUUCUACUGUCAUGGCGGUGCAUGCAGACGUGUUAAAUUAAUCUGAGCUCUUCUAGCACAAGCCAAAUUUUAGCCGACUCGAUCGUUAUUAGAUUUUAUGAAUGAUUCUGUAUAUGCUUCCAAACAAAGCAGGCUCCAUAUUUAAAUCGAAUUUAUCUAUUGACGACAGUGGUUAUUCGUGGAAGGGCAAUCUUUCACAAUUAAAGAGUUUGUUCAAAACGAUUUGAAGUUAGCUGGCAGUUGGUCGUCGCCAGGCGAUAUUACGCUAAAAUGGUAUGGUCAAAAGCGAAAGAAGCUUGUAAUAGAAAGAGAUACUGAAGAAAACCUCCUAUAGCGAACACACUUAAUAAUUUAUACAACAAGAACAAUGGCGGGCCUAAUACAACGGCUGCAAGUGAAGGCUUUGUUUGUGGAAGUGAAAGCUCGACUUAUAAAUCAACCAACAACGAAAAGAAUAGUAGGGGUGCACUGGAUAGUGAUUUUUACUGGAAAAAAUCCGACCGGAUACCGGAUAUUUUAUCAUUUUGAAUACUUGACAUAUAAUAUAUAAUUAUAAGGAUUUUUCUCAUCCAUGUAUUAGUGCAGAAGAAGGUGACACUGUUUUUUUGAAUUUUUGUGUAAAUAAUCAAUUGCAGUUAACUAAAAAUCUGUUUUUGACUUUUUCUACGGUUCACGUGUUUCCGAAAACUUCCGAAAGUUUUUGAACGAUGUGAUUUAGUACGGCUUUUGGCGCCAAACCCUGCGAAUAGUUAAUUAAUUAUAUCAGUGGCUAGCUUUUUCACAUCUCCUUUUUUGGGUUUUUAUUUUUUUAGUAUUUUUUAUGUUUCAAUUAACGGAAAUUUAGUACAAUUCAUAAAAAACAAAUUAUCCGGUAUCCGGCCGGAUAAUAGUAAAUAUCCGGCCGGAUACCGGAUAGUACGUUGCCGUGUCACUAUCCGGCCGGAUACUAUAUCUAAAAUUGAGCUAACCAGAACGCUCAUAUCCCACUCCCCUUUGCGCGCCUAUAAUGUGACGCACUACUUCCUGUAAACCUUUCAUAUAGUGACUCGCAUGAAAUUUUUUUAUUAGCGCCUGGGGACGAGGCAGAGCGAGGGCGACGAAGUCUUAAACAAUUUGCAAGCCGAUAAAUCGAUUGUCAUAGCCUCUGUUAUCGAAGGUGCGAGUGCGAACGUAGAGGGUCAAAGUACGAAACGGAAAACUAGAUCUCGGACUGUAUAUGGUGACACAGAAGUUUGUAAUCGUACUUGUACAAAUGUGAACUGGGCCCUUUCGAAGGUCUGAAACUGGAUAUAACAAUUCUUGACUAUCCCCUGCCAUCUCACAAAAUGGAUCAGAUACUGACUCACUUAGAAUAAAACAGAAAGAUAUGGAAAUUGUCAUACGACAACAACACGAAACAAUUUGCAAAUUAAAUGAGGAAAAU
rnacentral:lncRNA from 1 species